UGUGGAAGGAUUGCUGUGCCCUUCACGGUGAUGUGACUGCCUGAAGUUGGAUGCAUCCUGCUCUCGAACAUCUCGGGCACGGCUUAGCCCAGGAGACAGCAGCUCGUCCCUGAGUGUGGGGUGGCCUGGCUGGCAACUUUAGUUCUGCUCCUUCAUGCCUGUGCCUGAAGAGCCCCCUGGACUGCCUCUCCCCCACUCAGCAUGCCUUUUUCACCUCCUUGGCCACGGCCACUUGCUCCGAGGU